UGGGACGUCGCCAAGCGGUAAGGCACCGGAUUUUGAUUCCGGCAUUCGGAGGUUCGAUCCCUCCCGUCCCAGCCA
rnacentral:tRNA from 1 species